rnacentral:rRNA from 1 species
UACGUAGGUGGCAAGCGUUAUCCGGAAUUACUGGGCGUAAAGCGCACGCAGGCGGUCUUUUAAGUUUGACGUGAAAGCUCCCGGCUUAACUGGGAGAGGUCGUUGAAGACUGGAAGACUUGAGGCAAUGAGAGGGGUGUAGAAUUCCCGGUGUAGUGGUGGAAUGCGUAGAUAUCUGGAGGAACACCGAUGGCGAAGGCAGCCCCCUGGGCUAACACUGACGCUCAUGCACGAAAGCGUGGGGAGCAAACAGG